UACGUAGGGAGCAAGCGUUGUCCGGAUUUAUUGGGCGUAAAGAGCUCGUAGGCGGCUUAGAAAGUCAGGUGUGAAACCUCCAGGCUCAACCUGGAGACGCCACUUGAUACUUCUAUGGCUUGAGUUCGGUAGGGGAACACGGAAUUCCUGGUGUAGCGGUGAAAUGCGCAGAUAUCAGGAGGAACACCAAUGGCGAAGGCAGCUCGCUGGGACGGUACUGACGCUGAGACGCGAAAGCGUGGGGAGCAAACAGG
rnacentral:rRNA from 1 species